UGUCAUGAGGGAAGCACUCUUCUUUGCCAAG
rnacentral:piRNA from 1 species